GGGCAGAGAAACAGUCAACGGUUUGGUUUCUGCCACAAAAUCUGCGAGAUCAAUUGAAGCUUCUCCGAGAUAACCAGAUUUUGAUGAUCCCUGCCAGAACAAACAUAUAGGAAUUGGUAAGAAAACGCAAUAAAAAAGAGGAGAAAAGCUGAGAAGCUGCUGCGACCAUUCCUUACAGUUGAAACAAUGAAAUGGUUCCAUCUUGAACUGCAGCUUUCUGUAGUCUCACUGUCGGCUUUCCAACAUCCUCUGGCACCAAGGAUAUCAUCAAUGCAGAUUUUUUCAUUUUUGGCACCUGAAAAUGGAGAUGGAAAACUAGAUCUUGGAAAACCUUCAUACAAGUCUCACUCAGCUCACUGAGAUUUGGGGAAACAAUGUCUUCAGCUAGUGUGCUAUAGGAGAAUGUUC